UGGGGAAUUUUCCGCAAUGGGGGCAACCCUGACGGAGCAAUACCGCGUGAGGGAGGACGGCUUUUGGGUUGUAAACCUCUUUUAUCAGGGAAGAAGUUUGACGGUACCUGAUGAAUCAGCAUCGGCUAACUCCGUGCCAGCAGCCGCGGUAAUACGGAGGAUGCAAGCGUUAUCCGGAAUUAUUGGGCGUAAAGCGUCCGUAGGUGGUGGUACAAGUCUGUUGUCAAAGCGUGCGGCUCAACCGCAUAUGGGCAAUGGAAACUGUUCUACUUGAGUGCGAUAGGGGUGACAGGAAUUCCCGGUGUAGCGGUGAAAUGCGUAGAUAUCGGGAAGAACACCAGCGGCGAAAGCGUGUCACUGGGUCUGCACUGACACUGAGGGACGAAAGCUAGGGGAGCGA
rnacentral:rRNA from 1 species